GCGGNCGGGUGAGUAACGCGUGGGCNACCUGCCCUGUACAGAGGGACAACAACGGGAAACCGUUGCUAAUACCUCAUAAUACCUUUUAAAGGCAUCUUUUUAAGGUCAAAGGUUUUCCGGUACAGGAUGGGCCCGCGUCUGAUUAGCUAGUUGGUGAGGUAAUGGCUCACCAAGGCGACGAUCAGUAGCCGACCUGAGAGGGUGAUCGGCCACACUGGAACUGAGACACGGUCCAGACUCCUACGGGAGGCAGCAGUGGGGAAUAUUGCACAAUGGGCGAAAGCCUGAUGCAGCAACGCCGCGUGAGCGAUGAAGGCCUUCGGGUCGUAAAGCUCUGUCCUAAGGGAAGAAUUUUGACGGUACCUUAGGAGGAAGCCCCGGCUAACUACGUGCCAGCAGCCGCGGUAAUACGUAGGGGGCAAGCGUUAUCCGGAAUCACUGGGCGUAAAGGGUGCGUAGGCGGUCUUACAAGUCAGGGGUGAAAGGCUACGGCUCAACCGUAGUAAGCCUUUGAAACUGUAGGACUUGAGUGCAGGAGAGGAAAGUGGAAUUCCUAGUGUAGCGGUGAAAUGCGUAGAUAUUAGGAGGAACACCAGUGGCGAAGGCGACUUUCUGGACUGUAACUGACGCUGAGGCACGAAAGYGUGGGGAGCAAACAGGAUUAGAUACCCUGGUAGUCCACGCCGUAAACGAUGAGUGCUAGGUGUUGGGGGUCGAACCUCAGUGCCGCAGCUAACGCAUUAAGCACUCCGCCU
rnacentral:rRNA from 1 species